rnacentral:lncRNA from 1 species
CGCGCGUUGUGACCAAUGCUGCAUACAGGAGAUGAGGGAGGACGGCCAGACACCUGGAAGCCGGAAAAUGCAAUCGGUGCAGUUUAACAUCUGAGGGCUGUCCAAGAGAGGAAGAGAUUCCCACAGUACCAUUGUCAUGCCAGGAUGACUGCAGGCAGAAACAAAGCUGAGCCACUUCCCCUCCCCUCAAGAGCAAUAUCAGAGACUUAAAGUUAUGAAGAAGAAAUUGACAGAGCAAGAGCAUCGCCAUCGUGGACAAGCACCUCAUUUUAAAAUUCACCUUAAUCAAAAACUCUAAAUCCAAAGGGCAUCAGCCUAAUGGCUAAGGUCAGCAUGACCAUAAACCACAAAUAAUCUCGCUGACCAAAAACAUUCCAGACUCCUCCCUGACCAGAGACAUGCACCAAGAUAACCCCCACUCUGGCUGGGAAGAUGCCAGCCCUGAGAAACCCCGCUCCGGCCAGAAAGAUGUCUGCCCCAAAAUAACCUCCCCUCCGCCCAGAGACAUUCCAAGCUUGUAAUAAGCCCCCUCACCCUAAAACCAAUAUAUACUCUUAGCCUGUAAGAAAAAGUGCUCCUGACCAAAAUAGGCCAGAAGCCCUUCAGAUUGUUUCUAAAAUAAACCUGUCUUUAACCAUCAAGCUGUG